AUUGAACGCUAGCGGGAUGCCUUACACAUGCAAGUCGAACGGCAGCACGGACUUCGGUCUGGUGGCGAGUGGCGAACGGGUGAGUAAUGUAUCGGAACGUGCCCAGUAGCGGGGGAUAACUACGCGAAAGCGUAGCUAAUACCGCAUACGCCCUACGGGGGAAAGCAGGGGAUCGCAAGACCUUGCACUAUUGGAGCGGCCGAUAUCGGAUUAGCUAGUUGGUGGGGUAACGGCUCACCAAGGCGACGAUCCGUAGCUGGUUUGAGAGGACGACCAGCCACACUGGGACUGAGACACGGCCCAGACUCCUACGGGAGGCAGCAGUGGGGAAUUUUGGACAAUGGGGGAAACCCUGAUCCAGCCAUCCCGCGUGUGCGAUGAAGGCCUUCGGGUUGUAAAGAACUUUUGGCAGGAAAGAAACGUCGCGGGUUAAUACCUCGCGAAACUGACGGUACCUGCAGAAUAAGCACCGGCUAACUACGUG
rnacentral:rRNA from 1 species